GCUGGGGUUGUGGCUCAGUGGCAGAGUACUCAACUAAAAUGCAUGAGGACCUGAGUUCGAUCCUCAGCAUAGCA
rnacentral:tRNA from 1 species